rnacentral:misc_RNA from 1 species
GAUGAAGAACGCAGUGAAAUGCGAUAAGUAAUGUGAAUUGCAGAAUUCAGUGAAUCAUCGAAUCUUUGAACGCACAUUGCGCCCGCCAGUAUUCUGGCGGGCAUGCCUGUUCGAGCGUCAUUUCAACCCUCAAGACCCCUUCGGGGGACUUGGUGUUGGGGACCGGCACAGGGGCCUGCCUGCUUGUCUUGCAGCGCCCUCGCCGCCCCCGAAAUGAAUUGGCGGCCUCGUCGCGGCCUCCCCUGCGUAGUAGCACAACCUCGCAACGGGAACGUGACGGCGGCCACUGCCGUAAAACAACCCCAAUUUUAUUAGAGUUGACCUCGAAUCAGGUAGGAAUACCCGCUGAACUUAAGCAUACAAUAAGCGGAGGA